rnacentral:rRNA from 1 species
UACGUAGGGUGCGAGCGUUAAUCGGAAUUACUGGGCGUAAAGUGUGCGCAGGCGGCCGAGCAAGUCGAGUGUGAAAUCCCCGAGCUUAACUUGGGAAUUGCGCUCGAAACUACUUGGCUGGAGUGUGGCAGAGGGGGGUGGAAUUCCACGUGUAGCGGUGAAAUGCGUAGAGAUGCGGAGGAACACCGAUGGCGAAGGCAGCCCCCUGGGCCAAUACUGACGCUCAGGCACGAAAGCGUGGGGAGCAAACAGG